rnacentral:rRNA from 1 species
CCUACGGGAGGCAGCAGUGAGGAAUAUUGGUCAAUGGACGCAAGCCUGAACCAGCCAUGCCGCGUGCGGGAAGACGGCUCUAUGUAUUGUAAACUGCUUUUGUCAGGGGAUAAACGCAGAUACGCGUCUCUGUCUGAAAGUAUCGUACGAAAAAGCAUCGGCUAACUCCGUGCCAGCAGCCGCGGUAAUACGGAGGAUUCAAGCGUUAUCCGGAUUUAUUGGGUUUAAAGGGUGCGUAGGCGGUCGGAUAAGUUAGCGGUGAAAUCCCGGGGCUCAACUUCGGCAGAGCCUUUGAUACUGUGCGGCUAGAGUGUGGGUGCGGUAGGCGGAAUGUAUGGUGUAGCGGUGAAAUGCUUAGAGAUCAUACAGAACACCGAUUGCGAAGGCAGCGUACCAAG